AUUGAACGCUGGCGGCAGGCCUAACACAUGCAAGUCGAGCGAGCGGCGGACGGGUGAGUAAUGUCUGGGAAACUGCCUGAUGGAGGGGGAUAACUACUGGAAACGGUAGCUAAUACCGCAUACCAUCAGAUGUGCCCAGAUGGGAUUAGCUAGUGGGUGGGGUAACGGCUCACGUAGGCGACGAUCCCUAGCAGGUCUGAGAGGAUGACCAGAAAGACUGGAACUGAGACACGAUCCAGAAGCCUACGGAAGGCAGCAGGGGGGAAUAUUGCACCAUGGGCGACAGACUGAUGCAGCCAUGCCGCGGGUGUGAAGAAGGCCUUCGGGUUGUAAAGCGCUUUCAGCGGGGAGGCGUUACCCGCAGAAGAAGCACCGGCUAACUCAGUGCCAGCAGCCGCGGUAAUAC
rnacentral:rRNA from 1 species